UUCACUGGCUGGAAUGUAGAUGUGGAGACAAGAGUUGGGAACAGACAGUUUAGCCCUGAGGUGAAAGCUAUGUGUUGAAGAUGCAAAACAGGAUCCGAGGAGCCUGGCCCCAAACUGGGGAGCUAUGCUGUUAACUCUGGACUCGUUGUGUUCAAACUGUAUCAUGAGAGAGAAAACAGCCCGCCUCUUUUAAACCGCGGUUAUUUUGACUUUUGUUAUAAUAGCCAGACCUGUUUUCAAACUAAUAGUGGCAUUCAUUUUAUACUUUUUGUGCAAAUGAGCGUGUACACCUCAAAGAGAUAAAUAAUUUGCCUGAAAUUGCUUAUGGAACAGUCCCCUCAAGCAGCUCAAAUAUGAUACUUUCUCUUAGAAUUCCUCUCUGAUAUGGAAAUGCCAGUGAAAUCAUGCAGCUCUUUCCCCACACCACAAGAAUAGCCAAAUCUGAAUGACAUGUACAUCCCGGAGCAUCUGCCUGGCUGAGUGGGUGAGGGUACGUUCUCUGUCAGCCUCCAUCCUGAAGUCCCACCACGGCAGAGGCUGAGUUAGUUUUGAGGUUCAGAUAGCCUAUGUGGGCUACUGAGGUCCUUACUUAGGAGAUUCCAAAAAAGAGAUAUGACGGCCAGCGUUUCUUCAGUCCUCACUGACAAAGAAGACGAUGCAUCUUCAUGGUGAUCUCAGCGCUUCUGAUGCCAUUUGGAAAUUCGGAAACGGCUCAAUUAUAUCUGUGAGCCAUAACUUAAUCAUCUCUGAAGCUGUUUCCAGGAGGACAUUUUAAAUUUCUGUUAUGAUUAUCAGUGGCAUAUACAAGAAAUAACCUAAGGUUCUGCAGAUACAAAGAUGAAGACACCACCGAUGCUUUGGAAUAGCUUGGAGCUUAGUCAAUACGGUGCUCAUGCGAACAAGAUGAAAACCCAGCAGGCUGACCACUAAAGGGCAGAGUGUACUGUGCACGCAGGGGCUCUGGAAUUUGGGAAAGGCCUCCCAGCAGAAGAGGAGCCUCAGCUGAGCCUCUAAGGCUGGUUGAAUGCAAGUUAAUCAGGUACACUGACUCAGAAACUCUGGGGGCAGAGAUCCCGCAAUCUGCUGCUACCAGCCUUCCAGGUGAUCCUCAUGCAGCUAAGACCUGUUGCAUCAUCGAGAAGUCUGGCCUUUCUCAGCAAUCAGGAUUCAAAUUCUUGACCUUGAAGAUGGGAGAGAGAACAGAAUGCUUCUUGGUGCCACUCUAAGCUGGAUGAAAUUUGAAAACAUCCCCCAGGAUGAAUAGGGGAACAUGCAUGGAAAUUUGCAUUACUUUUAGCAAAAUCUAGGACUAAUUUGGAGCAGAUAGCCUGGUACUCCAGAAUAAGAGGAAACCAAGUGUGGAACUUUGGAACCCCUGGAGAUGUUGCCUGGGGACAGGGCUCAGAUGCAAGGUUCACAUCACUGGCCAAAGAAGGCAAGAUGAUUCUGAGUUGAGACCAGAACAAAAGUGGUCAUCAUCCUUUCCUGUUCAGUGACUGUUUACCCCAACCUCCUUUGCAUUUGCCCUUUUAAUUUAGGAUCCUGAAAGUGUGAUUCUGUUCCCACCCUCUCGUAAACUUCAGUAAAACAAGGAAGUAAACAAGUGUUUAUUGAACCAACUUGAAGGAAUGAAAGAAUGGUGGUCUCCUUAAUCAUUUCAGGAUACUUGAAUAUUAACCCAAAUGAAUUUCUAAUUAGUGGACUUUGAGACAGUGUGAAGAAAGUGUCUGGGAGCAAGAGCCUCUUUCUAAGAGCAAAGGGGCUGGGGUUACAAACUCAUUUCUUUUCUCCCCAGCUGCCUCGUCCACCUCUUUCCACAUAUUAUCCUUCUUGGCAGGGAGCAGGGGGGAUAGGGUAUCCAUCAACGCCACCAUUUUCCUCUUCCAUCAGAUCACCAUUUCCUCUUCCUUGUCUGGUGCCUGAAACCCUCACUGUCCGUCUCCAUCCAUCAGUGAAAGGGUGGGAUGGCAGAAAGUGGGAAUUACCUACUGAACACUUCUACUUAGAUAUCCUAGAGGGACUAUAAAUACCAUCUGAAAAAAUAAACUCCCUACAUCCAUACCUGCUCCUUAUGUUGAAGAGCCUCUGUUAUUAUGGUAUCAUCACCCAGUUGGCCAAGUGAAGAGUUUGGAGAUACUGGGUUCCUUGGAUGGUAGUUAAACUACCAUGAGGACAUGCAGGGGGGGUUGUAUGCAGCGUGAAGAGUGAGAAGAAAAGGUAUUUUGGAAAACAGAGAUUAGGUUUCAGCCCGGAACAUGUGGAGAAAGGCAGGAGCGAGGGUCUGAAGGGCAGGCAUGGGGCACCAGAGUCCACAGUAAGGCUCGGAAAACCUCAGCUAGAGCGGUGGCUAGAAGGUGGGUAAAGUGAAGAGAAGAGGGGCAACUACAAGUGUCUUCCCUGGAUGGGGGGCACUUCUCUAACCCUCCAGACUUGAGAGGCAUUCUCACUUCCUUUCCUGCUCAGCUUCCAGUGACAGUGUUUCCAUGCUGAAACACCCUAAUGCAUGUGAUUGUUUCAGAGACAAGUUCUAGAAAGGACAUGGUCCCAUCUCCUAUUGAACCCAGUCCAACAAACAAACCGAAAGUAAUCAGAACUAAUUCAUAUCUUUGCUCAGUCUCUCAGGAAACAGGCAAAGGUGGAGCUGGGAUAGACAAAGUAUGUUUUCAUGCCCAAUAAAAGUAGCAAAUUGUUGCACAAAUCCAUUCAUCCUUCAUUCACCACUUUUCAUACUCCUCACUUCCUAAUAUCUUCUGAAAAUCCCCACACUCUCAACUGCCAACUUCAGUACCCACUCACUUUCUAAUAUAAACCUUCCAGCUUCUCCAGAUUGCCCCCAGCUAUUUACUUACACCAAAAUUCAUAAUAAGGUCCAGGUGAAUGUGUGAGUCUGCGUCAGUGGGAGGGAUCCUCCCUAAGUCAGGGAAAUGGGCUGAUUCACUCACAUUGUUUCUGCCUGCAAUGUUCUUCCUUCAGCUGUGUGGCUUUUUUUAUAAGAAGAAGAAGGAGGAGGUGGAGGAGAAGGCAAACUUAAAAAGCCACCAGAACGGAAGCUCUGUGACCUUAGACACUUUGUACCCCACUGCCUGAAGUGAUAGCUGGCAUGUAAUGAACACUCAACGAACAUGGAAUGAAUGAAUGAAUGAACAUUCUAGUAUCAUGCAUCCCUGCUCCUCAGAGGCUAAUUACAUUGUAUACAACCACACUUGUCAACCCUACACUUGGAAUGAUGGUGCAUAUUAAAAGAGUCUUCAAGACUAAUACUCAACCUGAAAACAUCUUCCUCUUACCAAGACAGCACUUCCUAGGAAAACGAAUUUUUCAGUUUGAGAAGGAAGCCUGCGGUUCUUUGUGUACAGAAGCUUGUUACCACAUGCUGGACUUUCUCCCUGUUGUGGACGUAGUUCUCACGCAGCCCCAGGAUUCCUUAGCAUCUGGGAGGAAAGCUGGUCAGUAGAUACCAGAAGAUGCUUGGAGGAGUGGGCCCAACCUGGUGCUGAAGUGGGGGCAGUUGAGAUACUUCUCUAUCCCAAUAAGGCUUCAAUGCAGGGGAUGCCAAUUCUAAAAGCAAUGCUAGCAGGCAGCUGCCUGCUGUUCAAAUAAAAUCCUGUUGCCACAUGAA